UAGUGACGGUCAGAGUGAGGUCGAAACAGAUCUUAACUGCACGCUGGAAGAAGUCGGAAGAAGUAGAAGAUGAGUCUGAGCGAUUUUCGCAGGUGUUGCAAAAAUAAUGUAAGGAUACACAGAGUUCUUCAACACACGAACCUCAUUUUUGAGAGAAACAGUAAAGGUGAAUGCAUAUACGAUCAAGUUAUCCGUUUAGGAUUACAACUCCGCAACACGGCAAACAAAUCGCAUCGCAUUUGGCGGUCCUGUCAGAACUUUAUAACACGGUUGGAACGCGACAUGCCCGUGUUUAAAAAAUGGACAGACGACGAAGGAGACCAGCCUGAAGAACCGCGUUCAUCUGAGGCAUCAGAGAAAAGAGACCGGUAGCCUACUCCUUCCAAGACGCCCCGGACUCUGAAGAAGUUCUGCCCCAAUCCAUCAACUCCAACUGGUACAAAAACGCGAAGAAGCAUUACAGAGGUUGUCACCCAUUUUCCAUCCACUUGACCUCCACCUGGAACACCUAAACAAUUUUCUCAAAUCAUUUAUGAGGAUUGGGACCAAACAUGUCAGAAAUGUCAGCAGCCAGAAUCAGUAGGUCCAUUGGCAUCGUCAAAGAGCUAAUGGACAAAACGGACACAGAGCUGGAGCUGACAAGGCCGACUGGAAUUCAUCAUGUGGCCCGAGAACAGGAGGACGUUUGAACACGUUUUCAGGGAGACACAACUUUCCCAACAAAAAUCACCCAGGCAGGCAGUAUCAUGCAUUCCCGAAUUUCAAGAAAAACUUAUUGGCAAAGCUGAAUUACCAGGAGA